rnacentral:tRNA from 1 species
CAAAAAUUAGUUAAAAAAAUAAUAUUAGCUUGUCAGGCUAAAGUUAUCUCUAGUUUAUGAUAUUUUUGA